GUUCCAAUGAGAAUGAAGGCUGAGGUGUGCGCCUUUUUUUUUUUUCCUUCUUAGUCGUGUGUACAUCAUUGGGAAUGGAGGGAAAUAAAUGACUGGAUGGUCGCUGCUUUUUAAGUUUCAAAUUGACAUUCCAGACAAGCGGUGCCUGAGCCCGUGCCUGUCUUCAGAUCUUCACAGCACAGUUCCUGGGAAGGUGGAGCCACCAGCCUCUCCCUGACAAGCAAAGUGGAUCAGCAAAGGCUGCAGUCACCAGCAUCUUUUCCAACCUUAAUGAACUGUAUCCUCAAAAGAACACUAUCAGACUGGCUCUGCCGACUUCCAGUUCUGGAACAAGAUGGUUAAACUCAUUUUUCCCUGCUCUGCUCCUCUAAAUACAACUAAGUACCUUGGAAACUAUUCAGCAGACAAUGAUAAAGGGCUCUGAAAGCUAGAAGAAAAGGUGUACUUGCAAGAAACCUCAGGACUUGAGUAACAGCAACAUGCCCCAGUUCCUCUGUUGAAUAUCUUCUGCCCCAUCAUUGCCCCUGUUUUCUAAGAACCAGCUCAAACAUCACCACCUCGGUGGAGAUUCC
rnacentral:lncRNA from 10 species